rnacentral:lncRNA from 1 species
AACAAAUUAACAUUCAACAAAAACUAACAUUCAAAAAAACUAACAUUCGACAAAAAUAAAAUGAAAGACCUAUUUCGAUGGAGGAGUCUGAAAUCUUUGAUCACUCUGAGCAGCAUUAACACUUCUAUCUUGCAACGAUCCACGAUCUGAAGGUUGUGGAGUUGUAUUUGAUUGAGAUAGAACUGUUUUCUUCAGGUCUUCAAACAUAUCAAACAUUUCAUCGUAUUUCCUUUUUAAAAUUUGAUUAUCCUGUAAAACAUUUAAGAUUCAUUUAUAUUUAUGUAUUACUUAAAAAUUUUAUUGACUUUCAUACACAUACCUCCAUGAGCUUUUCCAUUCGAUCGUUCAUUUUUUCUUUUCCUU